rnacentral:rRNA from 1 species
CAUGCAAGUCGAGCGACAGAUAAGGAGCUUGCUCCUUUGACGUUAGCGGCGGACGGGUGAGUAACACGUGGGUAACCUACCUAUAAGACUGGGAUAACUUCGGGAAACCGGAGCUAAUACCGGAUAAUAUUUCGAACCGCAUGGUUCGAUAGUGAAAGAUGGUUUUGCUAUCACUUAUAGAUGGACCCGCGCCGUAUUAGCUAGUUGGUAAGGUAACGGCUUACCAAGGCGACGAUACGUAGCCGACCUGAGAGGGUGAUCGGCCACACUGGAACUGAGACACGGUCCAGACUCCUACGGGAGGCAGCAGUAGGGAAUCUUCCGCAAUGGGCGAAAGCCUGACGGAGCAACGCCGCGUGAGUGAUGAAGGUCUUCGGAUCGUAAAACUCUGUUAUUAGGGAAGAACAUACGUGUAAGUAACUGUGCACGUCUUGACGGUACCUAAUCAGAAAGCCACGGCUAACUACGUGCCAGCAGCCGCGGUAAUACGUAGGUGGCAAGCGUUAUCCGGAAUUAUUGGGCGUAAAGCGCGCGUAGGCGGUUUUUUAAGUCUGAUGUGAAAGCCCACGGCUCAACCGUGGAGGGUCAUUGGAAACUGGAAAACUUGAGUGCAGAAGAGGAAAGUGGAAUUCCAUGUGUAGCGGUGAAAUGCGCAGAGAUAUGGAGGAACACCAGUGGCGAAGGCGACUUUCUGGUCUGUAACUGACGCUGAUGUGC